rnacentral:tRNA from 1 species
UCCAUGAUGGCCGAGAACCUAGGCAUUAAGCUUUUAACUUAAACACAGUUUCCAAAACUCCAUGGAC